AACGAACGCUGGCGGCAUGCCUAACACAUGCAAGUCGAACGCGUGUAGCAAUACACGAGUGGCGGACGGGUGAGUAACGCGUGGGAACCUGCCCAGUGGUAGGGAAUAACUGCGGGAAACUGCAGCUAAUACCCUAUACGCCCUUUGGGGGAAAGAUUCAUCGCCAUUGGAGGGGCCCGCGUCGGAUUAGCUAGUUGGCGGGGUAAUGGCCCACCAAGGCAACGAUCCGUAGCUGGUCNGAGAGGAUGAUCAGCCACACUGGGACUGAGAUACGGCCCAGACUCCUACGGGAGGCAGCAGUGGGAAUAUUGGACAAUGGGGGAAACCCUGAUCCAGCAAUGCCGCGUGAGUGAAGAAGGCCU
rnacentral:rRNA from 1 species